GGUUACUGCUAUCGNUGUUCGCCUAAGCCAUGCGAGUCAUAUGUAGCAAUACAUGGCGUACUGCUCAGUAACACGUGGAUAACCUGCCCUUGGGUCCGGCAUAACCCCGGGAAACUGGGGAUAAUUCCGGAUAACGCAUAUAUGCUGGAAUGCUUUAUGCGUGAAAUGGAUUCGUCUGCCCAAGGAUGGGUCUGCGGCCUAUCAGGUAGUAGUGGGUGUAAUGUACCUACUAGCCGACGACGGGUACGGGUUGUGAGAGCAAGAGCCCGGAGAUGGUUUCUGAGACAUGAAUCCAGGCCCUACGGGGCGCAGCAGGCGCGAAAACUUUACAAUGCGGGAAACCGUGAUAAGGGGACACCGAGUGCCAGCAUCAUAUGCUGGCUGUCCAGGUGUGUAAAAUACACCUGUUAGCAAGGGCCGGGCAAGACCGGUGCCAGCCGCCGCGGUAACACCGGCGGCCCGAGUGGUGAUCGUGAUUAUUGGGUCUAAAGGGUCCGUAGCCGGUUUGGUCAGUCCUCCGGGAAAUCUGAUAGCUCAACUAUUAGGCUUUCGGGGGAUACUGCCAGACUUGGAACCGGGAGAGGUAAGAGGUACUACAGGGGUAGGAGUGAAAUCUUGUAAUCCCUGUGGGACCACCUGUGGCGAGGGCGUCUUACCAGAACGGGUUCGACGGUGAGGGACGAAAGCUGGGGGCACGAACCGGAUUAGAUACCCGGGUAGUCCCAGCCGUAAACGAUGCUCGCUAGGUGUCAGGCAUGGCGCGACCGUGUCUGGUGCCGCA
rnacentral:rRNA from 1 species